rnacentral:rRNA from 1 species
UACAGAGGGGGCAAGCGUUGUUCGGAAUUACUGGGCGUAAAGGGCGCGUAGGCGGCCUGUUAAGUCGAACGUGAAAUCCCCGGGCUCAACCCGGGAACUGCGUCCGAUACUGGCAGGCUUGAAUCCGGGAGAGGGAUGCGGAAUUCCAGGUGUAGCGGUGAAAUGCGUAGAUAUCUGGAGGAACACCGGUGGCGAAGGCGGCAUCCUGGACCGGCAUUGAC